CAUCAGGGAGGUGAUGCCAUGAUAUUCAAGUGAACUGGAAUUUAGUGAGGGAGGGCUGUGCAGUCACCAGCCUCACUUUCUCCUCCAGAGCCAUCUGGGUCCAAUGGCAAGAUACAGAUCAGGAUGACUGAAGAUGGCCCUGGAUGCAGUGGGAGACCUUGCAAGGGAAUCAAGGUACAGAUCUGCUUUCUCUAAGUAAAAUGUGCUUUAAACACGGGUUUAGGACCCAGGAAUUGACAUCUGCUGUUACAGAGUCAUUUGCCCUAGUUGCUGGUGGCCAUGUGUGCUGGUGUGGAGUUGACAAAUUUCAACAAUUGACUGUACCACAAAAUGGGCUGAUCCGGUCCAUUCCAUCUGUUCUUUCUGGUGGAGGGAUUCAUAAGCAGGAGAAUGACCAAGAGCCUAGAGGAAGAAGAAAUAAACUCCACAUCACAUAAUGAGUACCCAAGGAACCAAGAAUCGACAUCAAUGAAGUAACCACCAUGGUGAACUGUCACAGUCAAUUAGGGCUCUGAGCCAAUAGUAAUAAAGUAUUUAAGUGAAUGUAUUAGACCUAAAGA
rnacentral:lncRNA from 1 species